GAUGUUUGACAAGACUCCAGCUAGAUGAAUUAAAAAUAUCCUUCUGAGAAAUUAACUUUUGACUGACUCUAGCUUUGAUGCUUCGUCUCCGCGCUAACACCACCUACCAUCUCACUCAGACAGAUUCGCUACAGUACGUUGAAGAGAGAGGUGGUAGUGACAUCUAGGCUGUUAGGGGGUAUAGACAUCUGGGCUGUUAGGGGGUACCCACAUCUGGGCUGUUAGGGGGUACCGACAUCUAGGCUGUUAGGGGGUACCGACAUCUGGGCUGUUAGGGGGUAUAGACAUCUGGGGCUGUUAGGGGGUACCGACAUCUAGGCUGUUAGGGGUACUCACAUCUGGGCUGUUAGGGGUACCGACAUCUGGGGCUGUUAGGGGGUAUAGACAUCUGGGGCUGUUAGGGGGGUAUUGACAUCUGGGGCUGUUAGGGGUAUAGACAUCUGGG
ensembl:lncRNA